AACGAACGCUGGCGGCGCGCCUAAUACAUGCAAGUCGAGCGAGAAGACGUAGCAAUACGUUUGUAAAGCGGCGAACGGGUGAGGAAUACAUGGGUAACCUACCCUCGAGUGGGGAAUAACUAGCCGAAAGGUUAGCUAAUACCGCGUACGCUCCUUGGACUUCGGUUCAGGGAGGAAAGCGAUACCGUGGGUAUCGCGCUCUUGGAUGGGCUCAUGUCCUAUCAGCUUGUUGGUGAGGAACGGCUCACCAAGGCUUCGACGGGUAGCUGGUCUGAGAGGACGAUCAGCCACACUGGCACUGCGACACGGGCCAGACUCCUACGGGAGGCAGCAGUAAGGAUAUUGCGCAAUGGGCGAAAGCCUGACCCAGCGACGCCGCGUGGGGGAUGAAGGUCUUCGGAUUGUAAACCCCUUUCGGGAGGGAAGAUGGAACGAGCAAUCGUUCGGACGGUACCUCCAGAAGCAGCCACGGCUAACUUCGUGCCAGCCGCCGCCGUAAC
rnacentral:rRNA from 1 species